CGCUUGAGCCCGAGAUGGCAGCCACCCUACUCAUGUCUGGGUCCCAGAUGAGACUUAAUGCCAUUGCCUUCUCGACAUUUCUAACCAUGUCUCUAAUUUCAAGAAGAAAAGCUGGUUCUAAACUCCUAGGUACCAAGUAGUGAGGAAGCAUUGUGUUGAUUUCAGGCCCCUGUGACAUUUGAAGAUAUGGCCAUGUUCCUCACUCGGGAAGAAUGGAGACCCCUGGAUCCUACACAAAGAGACCUUUACAGGGACGUGAUGCAGGAGAAUUAUGGAAAUGUCGUCUCACUGGAUUUUGAGAUCAGGAGCGAGAAUGAAGCAAACCCAAAACAAGAGUUUAGCGACGAUGUGGAAUUUGCGACCAUGUCGGAAGAGCCUCUGGAGAACGC
rnacentral:lncRNA from 1 species